rnacentral:lncRNA from 10 species
CGUGUGCACCUGCGCGGUGUGUUUCCCGGCGGCAGCCCCGCGCCAGCUGCAGCUCCUUGAUCCAAGCCGGAUCCUGAGCGGGGAACACGGGCUGAAGCGGCCGCGGCGGCCCCGCCCCGGGGCUCCAUUGUUGAGGCUGCCGUGGCUCUGUUGGCUGCUCAGCUGCGCUACAGUCAGCCCAGGCGCCGCGGCGAGGAGCGAGCGCUGCGAGGCGGCGGCCUGAGGUGGCACAGAAUGUGGUCCUGUACACAGGCGACCCCAACCUGGGGCUGGAGCUGUUUGAGGCAGCUGGAGACAUCUUCUUCAAUGGGGCCUGGGAGCGGGAGAAAGCCGUGUCCUUCUACCAGGACCUGGUCCUGGCCCUGACCCUGGCAGUGAGUACGGGCAACCACAAGGCGGAGCUGCAGCUACAGCUGCGCAACAAGCUGGUGGCGCUCCUGGCCACACUGGAAAAGUCCCAGAAGGACUUGGAGUUUGCCUACGUGGCCCUAGCACUCAGCAUCACUCUGGGGGACCAGCUGAACGAGCACGUGGCCUACCACCGGCUGGCUGCCCUGCACCAUCAGCUGGGCCAUGGCAAGCUGGCCGAGCACUUCUACCUCAAGGCCCUGUAG